AUGGCGAGCUCGGGGCGGGCGACGCUGGGCACCGGGUCCGGCUCUGCGGCUACCCAUCCUCUCCUUCCGAGUUUCCAGCCAUACGCAGCCGACGCCGGAAAAGCAGGGCGAAAUGAGCUCGGGGAUGGGGAGGUCGUGUGCGUCAUGGGCGCCUCGGGCUACAUCGCCUCCUGGCUCGUCAAGCUCCUCCCCCAACGCGGCUACACCGUCCGCAUCACCGUCAGGGACACCGCCGACCCCAAGAAAACAUUGCACCUGCAAGCCCUGGAUGGAGCCAAGGAUAGGCUGCACUUGUUCAAAGCAAGCUUAUUGGAAGAAGGCUCUUUCGAUGCUUCCAUCGCCGGUUCUGAUUGUGUGUUCCACACGGCUUCACCCUUUUAUCACAACGUCAAGGACCCCAAGGCUGAGUUACUUGACCCAGCAGUCAAUGGAACACUCAAUGUUCUCCGUUCCUGCAAGAAAGCCUCUAUCAAGAGAGUCAUCAUCACGUCAUCAAUGGCUGCCGUUGCCUACAAUGGGAAGCCAAGAACUCCUGAUGUAGUAGUUGAUGAGUCUUGGUUUUCAAGUGCAGAGAUCUAUGAAAAUAAUCAGGUAAUAUGCCGUAGCAGCUGCUCCCAGGUCAAGGUAGCCACUAUCUCGCCCAUCUUCUCCCCAUCCCUUCCAUUCCCUUCGCUGACGCGUUUGGUUUCCAAGGGAGUAGCUCGUGCGCUGGGGCAUGUGUUUGUCGUUGCCGUGGGCAUGUUCCCGCUGUUGCUGGAUUUGGGGGGUGGGGAGAGAGCAGAGAGGGAGACGCCACCUUCGUAUGUUGCUUUAUGA
rnacentral:rRNA from 1 species